GCUGCACUCGCAGCAUAUGGAGGUUUCCAGGCUAGGGGUCAAAUUGUGACCUAUACCACAGACACAGCAAUGCCAGAUCCAAGCUGUGUUUGUGACCUACACCAUAGCUCAUGGCAACGCUGGAGCCUUAACCCAAUGAGUGAGGCGAGGGAUCGAACCUGCGUCCUCAUAGAUGCCAGUCAGAUUCCUUUCCUCUGAGCCACGAAGGGAACUCCUCUAAUCAAUGUUUUUUUUUUUUUUUUUUAAAUAAACCUUUAAAACUUUCAAGAUUCUUACUCUUGAAUCUCUGCCACAAAAUAUAACACAUUGUUGCCUCUGAAUCUCUGAAUUACUUCUUAAACUUGCAUGACUGCUAUUGUUUCCUGCAAAGAUUCUUUUUUUUCUCUUCCUUUUACAAAACGGUUUUAGCAGUUAUCCCAAGGAAAUGAAAGACUCAUGACUGUUUUAUAUGGACAGUAAAACAUAGCAAUAAAGACCAUUCCUGAUUCUUUUCUGUCUUUUUUUUAAAUGUCUACACCCAUGGCAUUUGGCCGCCAGACCCUUUAACCCACUGAGCCCCUGCCAUUAGAUUCUUAACCCACUGUGCCACAACGGGAACUCCUCUCUCUCCCUUCUUAUAGAAAAGGGGUGAAUAUGCAGAGUGAAAGCAAUGGCAAAACUUUUGAAGAACUUUUGAAGACAGACGGAAUUAGAGAAGAAAACAAAUAUUCCUGUGGUAUCUAAAUUCUUCACACUUUCCUAUACAUUGUUAGAGAAUUUCCUUGCUUUGUAAAUUUUUAGUAUGUAAAUUUCUGAAUUUUGAAUACAAAUAUAUUACAUCUUUGGUUAUUUCAUCAUAUUCUGGGUAGCUAACCAAUCGAAUUUCUCCUUUUGAUCCAAAACCUUGUUCUUUUAAGAAAUAAAUCCAAAGAAGUGAAAAUUUAGUAAGGCUUUCAAUUUGUAACUUAGUUAUGUUCCUUUUAAACUUACUAAAGGGCCAAGAGGAAAAUUACACUUUAAAGUAUCUCAGAUUCAAAAGACUGUCUGAUUGAACUGACUCCUCCUCUUCGCAGAGUAAUUAUACAGACUGGGUUACAAAUCUAUUUACCUACCUACUUUCACUACCACUCCAGUGAAGAGAAUGUAUUUCUUUCUCAGCUGGUGAUUAAUCCACAAUGACUAGUCCCAUAAUUAUCAAAUUGCAAAAAGAGCUACCAUUAAAGCCACGGAACUUUCUCCAAUUGUUAUAACUUGUAUAACUUGCCUGAUUUCCUAUCCAUACAUCCCUCCUUCACACAUGCAACUCCUGGAACUUGUGGGACUUCACCCUUGGGACUCUGAUGGGGGCUCAUGGCCUUCUUCCCUCCACUCUCUCAAGCUCCAAGACUUCUACCCUCCCUGCCAUUGAAUCUGAGAGCUCUAGUUCAGCACUAAUGGAAUGGACACCAAGCCAGCCUGUUCUCCAACUCAUACCUCAGAUUUGGUACAUGGAGUUCAGUUGUGCUUCUAAAAUUAAGGCCUUGCCUUUCCCCUGGUUCUAGUAUCUUAUACACUUAUCUCAAUAAAUUGCCCAAUCUCUAUGCUUUCCUUUGAUCUUUAUCUCCCUCAUGCCAGUCUUUAUUCUCAUUCACCACCUCCACCCAAUAUCAUUUGAAUACUGUCCCUAAACCACAGUCCUGGAGAUGGAGCCCUGUCACCAAUUCUCUCUAAUCCUGAGCACUUACAAGCCAAGCUCUGGCUACCUUGACCUCUUUGCACUGCCCGCAGCAAAGUGUCCUCCAGCUCCAGCCCUGUCCUGUGAGUGUGCCAUCUCAACUGUGGGCCACAGUCCCAGUCCUGUCCCAUACCCUUCUCUUUCUCAAAUUAUUUCACAUCUUAAGAAGAAUGACAUAGUCCACAUGCUGUGGGAUAUACUUUAGUAUUUCUCAAAACUAUGUUCAAAGGAAGUGUGCUAGUCAUUGCUCUCCUACUAGUCAAGAGCAUUUAGCAAAUAACAAAACAGCAUGGCUACCAAAAAACAUCAAAAUUAGUUUGAUAGUGCUCCCAUUAAGGAAUAAUUCAAAUAAUUAAAUCUAAAACCUUUAAAACUCAAUCACACACAGAUAACCUUCUUCAGUUUUCUGCUGAUCAAAUUCUAUAGAAUUACAUUUAAUUCAUAAAUGUAUUCUAGAAAAUGCUACUCAAGCGUGGCCCCUGAGGCUUAGAAAGAGCUUCCGUAGAAAAAGCUUCCAUAGAAUUAUGGAAUCUCAGGUCCCCACCUCAAAACUACUGAAUUGGAAGCUACAUAAAAUCUCCAAAUCGGAGUUCCUGUGGUGGCUCAGUGGUUAGCGAAUCUGACUAGGAACCAUGAGGUUUCGGGUUUGAUCCCUGGCCUUGCUCAGUGGGUUGAGGAUCCGGCGUUGCCGUGAGCUGUGGCGUAGGCUGGUGGCUACAGCUCUGAUUAGACCCCUAGCCUGGGAACCUCCACAUGCCGCAGG
rnacentral:lncRNA from 1 species